rnacentral:lncRNA from 1 species
ACCCUUCCUCAGAAAAAAACUGGAUGGCCUCAUGAAGGACCCACACCUGAAGUUGUCCUCCAAUCACCACAUGUACCUAUACACAGAAGGGCACACACCAAAAGAAAAGGGUGCCCGUGUGACUCCAACGAUUGUUCAACAGUCAAGAGCACUGGCUGUUCUUCCAGUGGACUCAGGUUCAGUUCCCAACAACCACAUGGCAGCUCACAACUGUCUACAAUGCCAGUUCCAGGGAAUCCAACAUCCUCCUCUGGCCUUAGAACACGCACAUGCAUGGUACACAGACAUACAUGCAGGCUAAACACCCAUAACAGUGAAAUAAAAAAUAAUCAUGAAGAACAAGGUGACAUGUGCACAGGAGCAGAUUGCCCUGUCUCGUCUUCUCCAGAUAAGGAGUGAAGUCAGUGCCUACUCCCCAAGGCUAUUGUGCAAUUUAAAUAUGGAUAUUCUCCAUAAAAACGUCUGGUCCUUAGAAAAAUGUCAGAGUUCCCUGUGAUUAGCAAGAACCUCUCUGGUACUUAGUAAGUGGCCAAUAAGUGUGUAU